UAUUUUUUUAAAUUUUCAUAUCAAUUCCUCACUUUCUACGAGCCGCAUAGACAAUUUACGUGAGAUUAGAACUCUUACUCAAAUGAUUUUAAAUUUCAUGCAUAAACAAAUCAUCAAAUCUUUUGUUGAUAUAUCUCAUUUUUUCAAUAAAAUCAAAAGACACACAAAAAUGCACAUAAUAACAAAGAAAUCUGUUCUAUUUGCUAAGCUUUGUGUGCGAAAACCAAUGGUUAACGGUUUUAAAUUGACGUAAAGUCCCUCAACUAUGGCGACCCCCCAAAGGCCCUAAUCCACCACCUGAUAUUUUUAAUCCACCUUGGAUAAAAUCGCAUGCGAAAAAGCGUUGCCACCGCCCUUACCGUAUUAAUACACGAUGCGCAGUAUCAGAUUGCGCAUACAGGCGGUCCCCGAGAUACACGGUACCUCUUAUACGCGGAUUCGGAGAUACGCGGUUUUCUAAAUUUGACAGUUCUUUGAGCAAAUUGUACUGAUUUGACACAUCAAUUGUAUAUUGCCAAAUAAUUUCCAUUUCGAUCGAAUGUUAAAAACUAUUUCAAAAAGUUUAAAACUGUUAUAUUCAGUCAGAAUCAUAUCAAAUAACUCAUAAAGUGACUAAAACCGCCCCCUACUUGCAAAAUUACACGAAAAUUAGUGAAAUUUUAGCUGGAAAUCACGAGGAUUCGACUUACGCGGAAAUUCGAGAUACGCGGUAUUUUGCGGCCGUUUUCGAUCCCCAUUAACCGUGUAUCUCGGGGACCGCCUGUACUUAAAAUUUGUGGUGCUGGCAGGGUAACGGUGAAGGAAAAAAAUCAGGAAAAAUUUACGAUCGUAAUGUAAAGCACAUAAAAAAAUUUUUCAUGCGAAAAGCGGAAGAAGGGUUGACAAGUGGUAGUAGUAGUUCGGAGGAAGUAGCAGGGCUAGUGAAAGAACGACAGGCUAGGCUGAUUAAAAAACCAAAACGAUUAAUCGAAUAUUAAAGAAUUUGUAGCCUUAUUCCUCAAGGGGAGGAUGUGGUAUGUGAGAGUAGCAGUGUGGGUGUGCGGGCAGUAGGAGGUUGGACGGAAUAAAGAGCAGACGUGUGUUACUGUAGUUCCGGUGUUUUCGAUGGAAUAUCACAUCCUCCCCUAAGGAAAUUAUAGAUUUAGCCUUUGAGGCGCUUUCCUUACUCUUGUUGAUCUACGUAAAUAUUCUGUGCUAUCUGUUGGAGUCUCGUUUAGGGGUGUGUCUCUUGUUCGUUGGUUGGUUGUGCUGAUGUUUUGGGGUAUAUUGUUUCUGUUAUUGGAGGGUACAUAUCGAAAGGUAUUCUUUGCUGUGAGUUAAGAUUAUUCUCUUCCCACUGCAAUCCUGGUCCGGGGCUCAACUGAUCUAUAUGUCGUUUCCAUACCCUUCCGUUGUCUAAUUGUACUUUGUAAUGGAGUGUGCCUAUUUUCUCUAAUAUUUUUCCAAACCUCCACUUCUCAUUAUUGGACAUAAAAUCACGGGCUGAUACCCUAUCACCCACAUCAAAUGAUCUAACUGUUCUUUCUCUCUCUUUAUCUGAUGUAUGUUGUUCGGAUCCGGGAAUCAUUAGGUCCAAUUUUGAUAUUAAUUGCCAUAACGGCCAUAGCAGGGCUUUUCCCGGUACUGGGAUGUGCCGUCCUACAAUAUGCCCAUAAGAUAUUUUGUAAAUGUAGGUGUACCUCGGGUCUAGAGCAUGAUAGCGCUUUCAACUUCUGUUUAAAUGUUUGAACAAACCUCUCUGACUGACCGUUUGUUGCCGGAUGGUAUGGAGCACCCAUUCUGUUUAAAAUUCCGUUUUUCUUUACGAACGUUUGAAAACUUUCUGAUGUAAAAUGUGUACCUCUGUCUGACACUAGCAUGGCUGGUAACCCAAAUGUAGCAAAGAAUUCUCUUAAUUUUUCUAUCGUGGUUUCUGUUGUCGUGUCUGAUAUUAUUUUUACUUCCGGCCACUUUGUUCCUGCAUCUAUAAUUAUUAGGAAAUUAAGAGCACUGAUUGACCUAUCCUUGAACGACAGCCAACUCAUUCAUGUGAUGCAGACGACUACGGCAAAAGAAAUGUGGGGCACUGAAGAGCUAUUACGAGCGAUCCUCCCUUUCAAUCCAUCCCAAGCGCCACAGAUUAAGCUCAAAUGACUGGAAAAUUGAAUAUCCAUAGAAAAAAAUGAAAGCUCUACAGCUUCAUUGGUUUGAUCAAUAGAUGGCGUAUUACAUCAUCAUUAUAUUGCUAUCCUUUUCUUGUAAUGUGUUUCGACAAGUUUCAUCUUAUCAUGACCUAUAUAGUCUUCUAACUUUCUGAGCAAAAAUCUAUAUGAAUGGUCGUGUGGUCAGAUACGUGGGUAUCAACACCAACGAUCAUUACUCAAAUCUCACUUGCUUCAGUACUGGUGGUUUCGGUUGGAGUUUAGUAUUUAAACAAUCGUAUCGUCGUUCUAGUUCUAGCGAUGCAUAACUUCAAUGCGAAACCAUACAACAGUACAAAGGAUAUGAGAAAGCUCUCCUCCAAGCGAUGAAGCUCAACUGGUUGGGGUAUGCCACCAACAGAGAGCGCCACCAGCUUUUUCGCUAUUUUUAGAUUGCAUGAGUCGUUUGCCGUCUGCU